GGGGGCGUUACGGAUUCGACAGGGGUCACUUGGGUUGGUAUAGCGUGUCGGAGGGUUGUCUUCGUUAUCAACACAACAGUUAUAAUAACUGGCAAAACAAACAAUUUCGCAGUAGCUGCCUAAUAGCACUCUGCACCUCUCUCAAGCAUCGCCUAUGUGCCUGAUGUAGAGGUUCAACUUUUAAGUAGGAUACGACGAACACUUCCGCCUGGAGUCUGUUCGUAAGAGAUUAAUCGGGCUAGCGAUACAUUCGGAUGUCCGUUUUCAGAUGUAUCGUGAAAUUCAAUAACAGGACUACACACGUAGAAGUAUCAAUUGCAGGAUCUUUGGACGCGGGUUCGACUCCCGCCGUCUCCAUAC
rnacentral:tmRNA from 2 species